rnacentral:rRNA from 1 species
CCUACGGGUGGCAGCAGUGAGGAAUAUUGGUCAAUGGACGAGAGUCUGAACCAGCAAAGUAGCGUGAAGGAUGACUGCCCUAUGGGUUGUAAACUUCUUUUAUAAAGGAAUAAAACGAGGCACGUGUGCCUUUUUGCAUGUACUUUAUGUAUAAGGAUCGGCUAACUCCUGGCCAGCAGCCGCGGUAAUACGUAGGAUCCGAGCGUUAUCCGGAUUUGUUGGGUUUAAAGGGAGCGUAGAUGGGUUGUUAAGUCAGUUGUGAAAGUUUGCGGCUCAACCGUAAAAUUGCAAUUGAUACUGGCAGUCUUGAGUACAGUUGAGGUAGGCGGAAUUCGUGGUGUAGCGGUGACAUGCUUAGAUAUCACGAAGAACCCCGAUUGCGAAGGCAGCUUACUAAACUGUGACUGACAUUGAUGCUCGAAAGUGUGGGUAUCAAACAGGAUUAGAUACCCUAGUAGUC